GAGAUAGCGCAUAUUCUAAAAUUGGAACAAUACAGAGAAGAUUAGCCUGGCCCUGUGCGAGGCUGACAAGCCAAUUCAUGAAGCAUUCCAUAUUUAA
ensembl:snRNA LOC120096462 U6 spliceosomal RNA